rnacentral:rRNA from 1 species
CGGUUUCUUAAGUCUGAUGUGAAAGCCCCCGGCUCAACCGGGGAGGGUCAUUGGAAACUGGGAAACUUGAGUGCAGAAGAGGAGAGUGGAAUUCCACGUGUAGCGGUGAAAUGCGAAGAGAUGUGGAGGAACACCAGUGGCGAAGGCGACUCUCUGGUCUGUAACUGACGCUGAGGAGCGAAAGCGUGGGGAGCGAACAGGAUUAGAUACCCUGGUAGUCCACGCCGUAAACGAUGAGUGCUAAGUGUUAGGGGGUUUCCGCCCCUUAGUGCUGCAGCUAACGCAUUAAGCACUCCGCCUGGGGAGUACGGUCGCAAGACUGAAACUCAAAGGAAUUGACGGGGGCCCGCACAAGCGGUGGAGCAUGUGGUUUAAUUCGAAGCAACGCGAAGAACCUUACCAGGUCUUGACAUCCUCUGACAACCCUAGAGAUAGGGCUUUCCCUUCGGGGACAGAGUGACAGGUGGUGCAUGGUUGUCGUCAGCUCGUGUCGUGAGAUGUUGGGUUAAGUCCCGCAACGAGCGCAACCCUUGAUCUUAGUUGCCAGCAUUCAGUUGGGCACUCUAAGGUGACUGCCGGUGACAAACCGGAGGAAGGUGGGGAUGACGUCAAAUCAUCAUGCCCCUUAUGACCUGGGCUACACACGUGCUACAAUGGACAGAACAAAGGGCUGCAAGACCGCAAGGUUUAGCCAAUCCCAUAAAUCUGUUCUCAGUUCGGAUCGCAGUCUGCAACUCGACUGCGUGAAGCUGGAAUCGCUAG